UACGAAGGGGGCUAGCGUUGCUCGGAAUCACUGGGCGUAAAGCGCACGUAGGCGGAUUGCUAAGUCAGGGGUGAAAUCCUGGAGCUCAACUCCAGAACUGCCUUGAUACUGGCGACCUUGAGUCCGGGAGAGUGAGUGGAACUGCGAGUGUAGAGGUGAAAUUCGUAGAUAUUCGCAAGAACACCAGUGGCGAAGGCGGCUCACUGGCCCGGUACUGACGCUGAGGUACGAC
rnacentral:rRNA from 1 species